CACAGGGUCCAUAACACGUUGAAUGCACCAUUUCUCGACCGAUCACUAAUGUUAAGCAAACUUGUGCGUGGUUGGUAGGUGAACGACUGAUCGUCUGGGGUAACACGCGCUGCUGAUA
rfam:Asian citrus Psyllid, Diaphorina citri - Florida Strain, whole genome shotgun sequence.